GGACAGGUGGCCGAGUGGCUGAAGGCACCGGUUUGCUAAACCGGCGUACCUCGUUAGGGGUACCGCGGGUUCGAAUCCCGCCCUGUCCG
rnacentral:tRNA from 1 species